UACGAGAGUAUAUGAGUGUAAGACUGUUGGUGAGAGAUUUAAAGAUGAUGUUAUGUAUCGUCAGCGAGGAUGUUUGCUGUCUGUCUGGCUGCACCUGAACUAUUAUCGGAAUGAUGGAUGUCUAAGUCACCCAGAAUCCUCUCGAUGUUUCUGGUCAAGGACGAGAAGCAGCUCUUGUUCGUGCUGACGUACCCCCUGAUAGUAUUUCCACCCUUUGGCUCUAAAAAGCCACAAACCCCAGAAAUGCUGGCACGGUGAUCUGACAGGAUCUCCUCAUGGAUAAAAUGACACAUCUGAUCUGCCUAACUCUCCAGAGGCCAUCCUUGUUCUCUGGCAGGUCGGAGUGAAUUUUGCUUGGACAGCGUCCAAUCUGACAGUACCUGACCAGAAUCCUGCAUUAGCCUGUUCACCUCUCACACAAUGGAUCAAUAAUGAUUAAGAGACAAGGGCACUCUUAAAGUUAUCCGGAACAAGUCUGCUUCUAGAAACAACUUCAUGCAGUGUGCACAGGCAUGCUUUGAGGUCGGAAACAAAAACUCUGAAGCAAGAUAUUUAUAAAGUAAUGGAUAGCGAACAAUCCUUCUGUGCCAGUGGGGUAAGGGUUGCUUCUAGUUUACUUUAAAACACAGGAAUGACAUAAUCGCCAUCUGUUUCUUGGUACAUUCAUUAAAACUUGGACAUUUCUACAGUCAGACCAACAUGUCAGUAUUAAAUAAUUCUUUAAUAAAGAGACUUCAUAGUCUUGCCAUAAAGAAAGCUUACUAUCAGUGUAAAACAUUUCUAAACAGUUUGGCUCCUUGUGAACCAAAAAUGUCAUUUAACUGUCAUGAAAACAAUAUUAUUGUAAGAUUUUUUCCCAUUAACCAUUCUGAGCCAGCAAGUAUUUGAUGGCCAAUCAGUUGGCUACUGUUUUAUCUCCUACGUAUACCAUAAUGCUGUUGAUUUCUCAAAUCUAAUUGGGCAUUUCUCUCAGUAGUCCCAGCUACAUGACUAAUCACAGGUUUAUAUUAAUGUGUAUGUCAUAUUAAGGUAUUGUUUCUAUAGAAACAGCUAAUUCACAGGGAUG